rnacentral:rRNA from 1 species
CUUGUUGGGGUUGUAGGACACUCUAUACGGAGUUACAAAGGACGACAUUAGACGAAUCAUCUGGAAAGAUGAAUCAAAGAAGGUAAUAAUCCUGUAGUCGAAAAUGUUGUCUCUCUUGAGUGGAUCCGGAGUACGACGGAGCACGUGAAAUUCCGUCGGAAUCUGGGAGGACCAUCUCCUAAGGCUAAAUACUCUCUAGUGACCGAUAGUGAACCAGUACCGUGAGGGAAAGGUGAAAAGCACCCCGGAAGG